UCUCGUGCUGUGACCCUCUAGAGGGAAGCACUUUCUGUUGAAAGAAAAGAACAUGCAUCCUUUCAGAGGGUUACUCUUUGAGA
rnacentral:pre_miRNA from 2 species